rnacentral:rRNA from 1 species
AAUGGGGGAAACCCUGAUGCAGCGACGCCGCGUGAGUGAAGAAGUAUUUCGGUAUGUAAAGCUCUAUCAGCAGGGAAGAAAAUGACGGUACCUGACUAAGAAGCCCCGGCUAACUACGUGCCAGCAGCCGCGGUAAUACGUAGGGGGCAAGCGUUAUCCGGAUUUACUGGGUGUAAAGGGAGCGUAGGUGGCAAAUCAAGUCAGAUGUGAAAGCCCGGGGCUCAACCCCGGGAUUGCAUUUGAAACUGGUAUGCUGGAGUGCAGGAGAGGUAAGUGGAAUUCCUAGUGUAGCGGUGAAAUGCGUAGAUAUUAGGAGGAACACCAGUGGCGAAGGCGGCUUACUGGACUGUAACUGACACUGAGGCUCGAAAGCGUGGGGAGCAAA